UACGUAGGGUGCAAGCGUUAAUCGGAAUUACUGGGCGUAAAGCGUGCGCAGGCGGUCCGUUAAGACAGAUGUGAAAUCCCCCGGGCUUAACCUGGGAACUGCAUUUGUGACUGGCGGACUCGAGUAUGGCAGAGGGGGGGGUAGAAUUCCACAUGUAGCAGUGAAAAUGCGUAGAGAUCGGAAAAGAACACCAACGGCGAAAAGCACUCUGCUGGGGCCGACACUGACACUGAGAGACGAAAAGCUAGGGGGAGCGAAUGGG
rnacentral:rRNA from 1 species